rnacentral:lncRNA from 1 species
GGUUAUCAGCCUUCCUUUCAUUUGUGUUCAUUUUGUUUUUGAAAGAUUCUCCCCAACGCCCGAAAGCUUGAAGGAAUGAGUAACUCCUCUCUUCUCAGGCCCAGUCCCAAGGCACAAGGCCACUUGUACCAGCAGCGUGAGUCAGCAAGAUAGCAGAAGCAGGAAGAGAGCCGGCCAGAAGACACCUACCCUGGCCGGAAGACACGUACCCCUGAAGAUCGAGAAACAGGCCAUCUGGGUACCACAUAGCAGUUACAUCAGACUGGGACAAUUCCUGUUUACGGAAGACUAUAAAACCCUGCCCCCUACUCAUUUGGUGCUGACGCCAUUUUAGGCCUUAGCCUGCCUGCACCCAGGCGCUCAUUAAAACAGCAGGUUGCUCCACACUGCCUCGUGUUGUCUGUUGGCACACUCUCAAGAGUUUGAACGGAUACAAGAAUCUUUCAUCUGGUGCCGAAACCCGGGAGGGGCUCCGGUCUUCGUCCCCCGUGGACCUACCCCUCCGCCCCAGAAAGCAGGCCACAGCAGCCGGACAAAGGAAGCUCCUCAGCCUCCAGUUGCUUCUCUGUGCAUGCACAUCAGUCACUGAUCUCACCUACUGGCCCAGUCCCAAGGCGCAAGGCCACUUGUGCCAGCAGUGUGAGUCAGCAAGAUAGCAGAAGCAGGAAGAGAGCCGGCCAGAAGACACCUACUCUGACUGGGAGACACGUACCCCUGAAGAUUGAGAAAGAGGCCAUCCAGGAUGCCAGAAGAAAUGGGAAGACAUUAAGGUUUAUGUGCUAAUAUUUGAGUCCUUUCAUGGCAUUUACAUGGCAGAGCCAAAAGCAGAAGUUGACAACCAUCAGAAGCCAAACCAGCCCCACAAAAUACCUAGCCUUCAAGAGAGAAAUUGGACCAAUCUAUGAAAAAUGUUGCUGGGAGUGAAGAUGGAAUGAGAAGAACAGAGAAACAAUGACAGAGUCCUUACAAACACCAUGAUACAAGAAGGCAAUGGGGAUAUGUUAUCCUAAAGGAAUCCUAAAAGAAGUGAUCAAAAAGGUGAACAGAAAACCAAGUGGGAGUACUGUCACUGAGGAUGAGUUUCCAGAGAGAAUUAAUGCUGAAGAAGCUAUUGCAGACACUGCUGAGUAUGAAGAACUAAUUGGAGAAGGAAGCCGUUGUAUAGCAGAUGCAGAGCAGCAGCAAAAAUGGUAAUGAAAAUAGAAGAUAAAUUAGAAAAUUUGGAAAAACCCAAACAGAUCAGCCAUAUUGAAGGGAAAAAGAAAAACAAAACAAAGUGGGAGGGCAGAAAUGUAGAACGGUAUACACUCUUUUAACCCCAAGGAUGAAUGUAGCCAAGAACACAGUGGGGACUUAGGAGUCUCAGCACAGAGCAUUCUCUACUCCCUACUGCUCAGGCAAAGAACUCCUUCAUCAUGCAGAACCAAAACUGGUGUAGAGUCUUAAAUGACCUGGGUAUCUCUACGCAGAAGAAAGCGCUUUCCAUGUAAAAGGAUUAACUUGAACCUGGGUGCUCAAGGGACACCCUAGGCUGCUUAUCCCACUGAUUCUGAUCUGACUGUGUUAAGUAAUAAAUCAUGUGGUUACAUAUUCACAUUAUCUUGUGUAGUUUUCUCUCACAUUGCUACUUAAAGAGAAACCCCAGACACAAUAAUGAGGGAGCUCAGUAUAAGGGUAUGAAGAGAUCCAGGCAAGCUAUAACCUGGAGAGCUCCUUGCCCUUCAGAAGGUGAGACCACUCAGAAUGAGGGAGAAAACGUGGCCCAGCCCACUUUAUGAGGAAGCUACAAACAGAAUUCUUAGAAGACAGCAGCCAAGGGAGUAGCAGGGAUGGGGACAGGGAGGGCUGAGACUAGAAACUCACAGAGGAACAAACAAUUGAGUAAACUGGAAACAAGUAACCACAAAAGCACUAGAAAAUAAAAUGAAAGCUUUGCAUGAAUAAUUGACAAAUUUGAUCUUCCUUGUGAAUGCAGAAGAAGGAACUAGAAACAAAAGAUAAUGAGGCCGCUUUCUCUGCUUUGAUCUGAAGGACAACUUUCUAAUUAUCUGAUC